GACGAACGCUGGCGGCGUGCCUAAUACAUGCAAGUAGAACGCUGAAGGCGGAGCUUGCUUCUCUGGAUGAGUUGCGAACGGGUGAGUAACGCGUAGGUAACCUGCCUGGUAGCGGGGGAUAACUAUUGGAAACGAUAGCUAAUACCGCAUAAGAGUAGAUGUUGCAUGACAUUUGCUUAAAAGUUUCAAUUGCAUCACUACCAGAUGGACCUGCGUUGUAUUAGCUAGUGGGUGGGGUAACGCCGCACCAAGGCGACGAUACAUAGUACACAGGAGAGGGGGGGAAGCCAGACUGGGAGGGUGACAGGGCACAGACUGAUACGGGAAGGAGCAGUAGUGAUACGUGGGCAAGGGACGGAAGUUAGAGCGAGCAAGGCCGAGUGAGUGAAGAAGGUCUUCGGAUCGGAGAGCACUGUUGUAAGAGAAGAACGAGUGUGAGAGUGGAAAGUACACAGUGUGACGGUAUCUUACAAGAAAGGGACGGCUAACUACGUG
rnacentral:rRNA from 1 species